CGGAAAUGUUUAGAGGAUGUUUACACACCUUUAAUCCCUUCACUGGCCACAGGUCCAUAAAACAGGAUUAACUUUACCCCUGAUUAACUUCUUCCUCUGCAAAUGAGCAUGCAGAAAUGCUGCUGGAGCCGAUGGCAACUCAGUGUCAAACUCAUCAGGUUUGAGGAGAGUCAAAAGUGAGCUGGUCCAGCAGCGAGAGUUGAGUAACAUAUUCAAAGAGGGUAUGAUCCUGCACUCUCAGCAGAAAAUGACAAAGUAGUCUUGGUUUAAGGAGUGGCAUCGACAAUGCUUAAAUGCUUAGUUAGAGACCUGAGAUCAAUGACUUUAUUUACCCAGCUGGUGUCUCUAUCUCUAAUCAAUGGAAACGUGACUGAUGAAUGCAUUUCCAUCUUGUCUGGUCCAAAUAUUUAUGGAUUUGUUCAUUGAAACAAAAUGUUCCACCUUGAUGACAGACUAAAGAUGCAGCUUCUUGGAUGAUUAAUUUCAUCAAAAAGUCACUUAAUAUAGCUGUUCAGACAAUCUUGGAAAGAUGGUAUCAUCCUAUAAACUACAUCCCAGUAUCUGUAUUUUGAACCAAAUUCACAAAGUGCCUAAUAAUGUUACUUUCUGGAUAAUGAGUGACUCUGACAGUCUUCUCAUAGGAUACCUUACUCUGAAAAUUGCUUUGGCUAAAUUUUCUCAUCGAAAAUGGAUGGUGCUGGAAGGGAUCAUGCUCAGCGAAAUAAGCCAAAAAGAAAAAGAAAAAUACCGGAUGG